UACGGGGGGGGCAAGCGUUGUUCGGAAUUACUGGGCGUAAAGGGCUCGUAGGCGGCCAACUAAGUCAGACGUGAAAUCCCCAGGCUCAACCUGGGAACUGCGUCUGAUACUGGAUGGCUUGAAUCCGGGAGAGGGAUGCAGAAUUCCAGGUGUAGCGGUGAAAUGCGUAGAUAUCUGGAGGAAAACCGGUGGCGAAGGCGGCAUCCUGGACCGGCAUUGACGCUGAGGAGCGAAAGCCAGGGGAGCAAACGGG
rnacentral:rRNA from 1 species